UGCAUGAUAGCUCAGUUGGCAGAGCAUGAGACUUGUAAUCUGAGGGUUGUGGGUUUGAGCUCCGUGUUGGGCAA